rnacentral:tRNA from 1 species
GGGGUUACCACUCAGUGGUAGAGUGUGGACCUAGCAUGCAUGAGGUCCUGGGUUCAAGCCCCAGUAUCUCCA